ensembl:lncRNA
GGGAAGGAGAGAUGUUUUUUACAGGUGCUUUAACCAUGUGGUUUUAAUGUUUGGUCCUCUAAGGCAGGCACUCAGAGCAAGACCAGCCGUGGUGGGAAAAGAGCAGAAACACAACAGGAACUUUUUUAUCUUCUAAAAAUGAUUUAUUAAUACAAUAUGGUAUAGUACACCCCAUAGCAUAGUAUGACUGGCAGAAACCAGAGAAGGCAAAAGUAGAGAAAACACUAAACAAUGAUCCCAUUCCCACAUCUGUACGUGACUGAGUAAGCAGUACAUAAUCACAUUAAACCCUUGCUAAAAUCAUGGUCAGCAAAUUGAAUAAAAUAAAACAUACAAAUGGCAGGAAAUGCAGUUUGUCCCAUCUCCAAGAACUCUAUGAUGCCGUCCCAGGUGCCUUCACUCCAACAACUCCGUCCCAGGUGCCUUCACUGCGACAACUCCAUCCCAGGUGCCUUCACUGCGACAACUCCAUCCCAGGUGCCUUCACUCCAACAACUCCAUCCCAGGUGCCUUCACUGCGACAACUCCAUCCCAGGUGCCUUCACCUUCACUCCGAUAACUCCGUCCCAGGUGCCUUCACUGCGACAACUCCGUCCCAGGUGCCUUCACUCCGACAACUCCGUCCCAGGUGCCUUCACUCCGACAACUCCGUCCCAGGUGCCUUCACUCUGACAACUCCGUAACAGGUGCCUUCACUCCGACAACUCCAUCCCAGGUGCCUUCACUCUGACAACUCCAUCCCAGGUGCCUUCACUCCGACCUAGGUGCCUUCACUCUGACAACUCCAUCCCAGGUGCCUUCACUCUGACAACUCCAUCCCAGGUGCCUUCACUCCGACCUAGGUGCCUUCACUCUGACAACUCCAUCCCAGGUGCCUUCACUCCGACCUAGGUGCCUUCACUCUGACAACUCCAUCCCAGGUGCCUUCACUCCGACAACUCCAUCCCAGAUGCCUUCACUCCGACAACUCCAUCCCAGGUGCCUUCACUCCGACAACUCCAUCCCAGGUGCCUUCACUGCGACAACUCCG